GACGAACGCUGGCGGCGUGCCUAAUACAUGCAAGUCGAACGCUUCUUCCUCCCGAGUGCUUGCACUCAUUUGGAAAGAGGAGUGGCGGACGGGUGAGUAACACGUGGGUAACCUACCCAUCAGAGGGGGAUAACACUUGGAAACAGGUGCUAAUACCGCAUAACAGUUUAUGCCGCAUGGCAUAAGAGUGAAAGGCGCUUUUCGGGUGUCACUGAUGGAUGGACCCGCGGUGCAUUAGCUAGUUGGUGAGGUAACGGCUCACCAAGGCCACGAUGCAUAGCCGACCUGAGAGGGUGAUCGGCCACACUGGGACUGAGACACGGCCCAGACUCCUACGGGAGGCAGCCAGUAGGGAAUUUUUCGGCAAUGGACGAAAGUUUGACCGAGC
rnacentral:rRNA from 1 species